rnacentral:rRNA from 1 species
CUGUCCUCGGGGCGCAGCAGUGGGGAAUAUUGCACAAUGGGGGGAACCCUGAUGCAGCGACGCCGCGUGGGCGAGGAAGUAUUUCGGUAUGUAUAGCCCUAUCGGCAGGGAAGAAAAAAGACGGUACCUGACUAAGAAGCCCCGGCUAACUACGUGCCAGCAGCCGCGGUAAUACGUAGGGGGCAAGCGUUAUCCGGAUUUACUGGGUGUAAAGGGAGCGUAGACGGCAAUACAAGUCGGAAGUGAAAUACCCGGGCUCAACCUGGGAA